GACGAACGCUGGCGGCGUGCCUAAUACAUGCAAGUAGAACGCACAGUUUAUACCGUAGCUUGCUACACCAUAGACUGUGAGUUGCGAACGGGUGAGUAACGCGUAGGUAACCUGCCUGGUAGCGGGGGAUAACUAUUGGAAACGCUAGCUAAUACCGCAUAAUAUUAAUUAUUGCAUGAUAAUUAAUUGAAAGGUGCAAUUGCACCACUACCAGAUGGACCUGCGUUGUAUUAGCAAGUAGGUGAGGUAACGGCUCACCUAGGCGAGGAUACAUAGCCGACAUGCGAGGGUGGUCAGCCACACUGGGAGUGAGACACGGCCCAGACGCCUACGGGAGGCAGCAGUAGGGAAACGUCGGGAAUGGAUGAAAGUCUGACCGAGCAACGCCGCGUGAGUGAAGAAGGUUGUCGGAUCGUAAAGCUCUGUUGUAAGGGAAGAACGGGUGUGAGAGUGGAAAGUUCACACUGUGACGGUAUCUUACCAGAAAGGGACGGCUAACUACGUG
rnacentral:rRNA from 1 species